CAGUCAGACUGCUUUAUGUUUCGUGUUUUCUCUUUUGUUUUGUUAGAUUUCUCCUGUUGCAUUAUUGUUAUCCUGCGAUUUCCUGUCUUUAUCUUUAUUCCUGCCUCUGUGAUUGCUGGCUCCGCCCUGAUUAGGUUCACCUGUGUCUAGUUUAGUUCCAUGUAUACACCCAUGUGCUUUCCCUGUGUUUAGUUACCAGUUCAUUAUGUACCACAGCAUCAUUUGUUCCAGCAUUACUUCUGCUUGUUUCAACCUUGCCUUGGUCAUCCUUCUGUUUUUGUUUGCCUGCGUUAACUGCCUACCUGUGUACCAAACUCUUGCCUGUGAACUGAAGAUGUGAAUGAAAACAACCACGUGAGCGUGUCCAUGUCUCAGAAGGCAUUGCCACAUUGAGUGGAGGUAACACAGCUGUACACUGCCAUUAUGAAACCCAGAGGAACGCUGUGGUUGGCUUCACUGGAAGUCUCGUCUGCUGCCUGGGCAAUUGCUCUGUCCGCAGCUCACGUUUUAACCGGAGCGCCAAAGCAAACCAGACUUGUACUGUUGCUCAGGACUCCACCAGAUCAUGUUUCUCUUGCUGUUUGUCCUGUUUUGAUGCCAUGUUUGUGGAAUUCUCGCCACAUUAUCUUUAUUAUUUAUCCAAAUUUUUGUUUUGCAUUGUAGAGAUCGGGUUCUGUAGUUUGUGCUCACUCAUCUCUCAGUUUUCAGUGUAAAUAUUCCUAUUCAUUUGAAAUUAAGAAGAAUUCCCAAAACAACAGAAGUGAAUCUUGAUAAUCACUCUUGUGCAUAUUUUAUUCAUGAUGUGUCAAAUAAACAACACCACCACAACAACAGCAGAAUAGCAUCCAGGUAAAUCCCUCACACAAAGUUUAAACUAAUGUGAUUAUAAUUUUUAAUAAUUAAUAAGAAGUCACCAAGAGCAGCAUUGUAUUAUUUUUGAACUCCUACUUCCUAAGUUCCAUAAAUAGUCCAAUGAAGGAAACUGCAGUGUUGAUGAGGAGUGAGAGAUGACUUUUUUUGGAUGAAUCAAGCGGAAGAUUUUAGAGAGUGGAGCUGUCACUUGUGAUGGACUAUCUGUAUUCAGGUCGACCCUUUCUCCAACAGCAGCCUCACAGCCUCUGAAUAGCAGGAAACCGGUCGUAUAAAUAAUUCUGUGGUCUUAUGCCUGAUGGAGAGAGCUGAUAAAAACAACAGAAAUCAACAUAUAUGGCCGAGCCAACAGGGAAACAAUAUGUUGCCAGAAAAGAAGCUGACUGUGACACUGUGCUCCAUGCUUAUUUUAGUUCACAAUUCUUUCUUGGUGUAACUUGAGGGACGUGGGGAAGUGGGACUUGUUGCUUGUUGUUGCUUUUGCUUUUCACAAAUAUCCUAUGAACACUGAUUUUAGUAUCUGUUUGUUUUUUGGAUAACUUGUGAUUAUUGGGAAAAAGUUUACUCACAGUUUACCAAAGAAACAGGGAGUGGAGGGAGAAGAGACGUAGGCACAAUGUAAGAUAUUGCAAAAUUAUGCUAUUUUACAGAAGCAAAGACUGAAUUUACUCAUGCUGUGCUCAUAAAAGUGCAAGGUCAGCACAGUCUACUUUUAAAUGUGCAAAAUGCCAACACCCAAGUCAACAUUUAAAGUAGUGAACCGCCACCUGAAUAUUACACACAGCAGUGCUGUUCCUGCUUGCCUGGUGCAUUGAUUGGUUUUAAGGAAUUUCCAUGUGAUUAUGUGACGUUUUUCCAAGAAACUUACAGGGUUAGCUGUAGGUAGUGUCUUUCCUCCUUCAUAGUUCUGAGAAGCCCGGAAGAACUCUAAGAGGGAAAAGCAUGUUUACUCUAUUGAUUUCCCUUUGUUUGUACACACUUUUAGCUCUUGGAAGUUCAUUCUAAAGGAGGCUCCUUAUUUAACAGAGCUUAAUAAUAUUUCCUAUUUAAAGAACAAGGACAAGUUUUUACUGGAACUGGCAUGAAGAUUAGAGGAUAAGAACUUUCCAUGACUAAGAUGAGAUGCUGGCAAGCUAAAAAAAAUAGAUCAUAAAAACUGUUAUGAAAUCUAGUUGAAAGAGAGAAAACAUUUAGUCUAAAAGUUGACUGUAAUCACUUUUUGUGACUAAAACUGGACUACACUGACAAAACUGACCGUUGUUGGAUAGAUUUCCAUGAAAUUUUGUACAGACGUCCAUGUCUCCUUCAGGAUGGCCACGGUCCCUUUACUUAUAGCACCAUUAUAAGGACAAAUAUUCACUUUGUCCAAUACUUUGGUUCCAGCCUCAGCUGUACUUUGUCGUACUGUGUAACUGUUUAACAGCUAACAUGCUAAAUAAAUUAGGAUGGCAAAAUGGUCAAAAUGAUACCUUUUUACCUACAUGUUAGCAUUGUCCUUGUGAGCAUGUUAGCAUGUGUAUGAAUUUAGCUUAAAACAACAAACAUAUGCUAAAGUUGCUCUUCAAAUACUC